rnacentral:lncRNA from 1 species
AUGCUGCCGUCUGUCUCCGUUGGGUACUCUGAGGAGUCUGUCCGGCCUUCUGCGGCUUCCACGCCGCCACCUGUUCCUGCCGGAGGCUUAGGAGAGCCCAUCCAGCUGUCUGUGCCAUUAUCAACGCUAGCCACACCGUCGCCUGUGACUCCACCAACCAUGGCUCAACCACUGGUUGAAUCACUAGCUCAACCCUCCACGACUUCCAUGCCGCCACCAGCUGAACCACCUGCAACUGCCACACUGCCAUCUGGGCCAGUGACGUCUCCGCCAGAGUCAUAUUAUCACGUCUGGACAUGUCUGGCAUCUGGCUGUCGUGAGGAGCAUUGGCGGCAUGGGUGCUCCUUCCUCCUCGAAGGCAGAACCAAUGGGCUCAGCAGAAAAUCCUUCGGUGGGCUGGACAGUCAAUCCUCCGGCGGACCGAGCUGAAAGUCCUUCGACGGGCCGGGCAGGGAAUCCCCCGGCGGGCCGGGCAGGUAAGCGGUUGGAGUCGGAGGGUGAAGGUGCAGGGCGUUGAGGAGAAAGUCCUGAAUUAAUGGGUGAAGUGAAUCCAGUAGCCAUGGGAAGCCAGAAAUAAGUCGCUGUAGCCAGCUUGUACGGCAUGACGAUACUCCCUCCCGGAGCCACUGAUCCCCAACUGUAGCCACAUUUUUCAUUGGUCUGGUGCCAAAAUAAUAAUUAUUUUUGUUUUUUUAAAUUUAAAUUUAUUUAUUUUUUUUUACAGUUUGGUAACAUUACUACAUAAUUUAUAUAUGAGUAAUUUAGGGCCUAACACAGAGCUCUAAGGAACCCCACAAGUUACCUUAAACUGAUUUGAUUUUACAUCAUUGACUUGCACAUAUUGAUGUCUAUCAUCCAGGUAACUACUCAUCCACUUGUACGCUAUCCCUCUCAUACCAUAUCUCUCUAGUUUAUUCAUUAAUGUACUAUGAUCAGUUGUAUCAAAUGCCUUUUUAAGUCUAUAAAAACACCAACAGUAUAUUUCUUAUUAUCUAAUGUAGUAGAUAUCCCUUCUACAAGUUCCAUCACUG